rnacentral:rRNA from 1 species
GACGAACGCUGGCGGCGUGCUUAACACAUGCAAGUCGAACGGAAAGGCCCUGCUUUUGUGGGGUGCUCGAGUGGCGAACGGGUGAGUAACACGUGAGUAACCUGCCCUUGACUUUGGGAUAACUUCAGGAAACUGGGGCUAAUACCGGAUAGGAGCUCCUGCUGCAUGGUGGGGGUUGGAAAGUUUCGGCGGUUGGGGAUGGACUCGCGGUUUAUCAGCUUGUUGGUGGGGUAGUGGCUUACCAAGGCUUUGACGGGUAGCCGGCCUGAGAGGGUGACCGGCCACAUUGGGACUGAGAUACGGCCCAGACUCCUACGGGAGGCAGCAGUGGGGAAUAUUGCACAAUGGGCGGAAGCCUGAUGCAGCAACGCCGCGUGCGGGAUGACGGCCUUCGGGUUGUAAACCGCUUUCGCCUGGGACGAAGCGUGAGUGACGGUAAUGGGUAAAGAAGCACCGGCUAACUACGUG